CCCACUGCACUUCCUCCAUGAAGCCUUCCCUGACCACACCUCCCUGCCUUCUUGGGGACUUUGCUCUUCAGCUCUCUCGUCUGCCAGACUCUCCCCAGAAGCAUCGUGGGUGCAGCAGAAAUGACGUCUCAGGAGCAGUGAGCGCGCCUGGGGCUCAGGUCGUCCUUUCUAAGCACCAUGCUCCACAAACUAACCAGGGCUCCCGGAGGCGGUGGAAAGGCUGCAGAGGGCCCCUAGGCGGCUAGAAAGGGGCUCAGAACGGUGGAGCCCCCGAGAAGGCCCGGGGUGCUGGGGGUGGCUGCCUAGUGGGCCCCGGUUUUCCUUCAGGGGUGGUGGAGAUAUUCGAAGCUGGAUAAAAUUCGGGGGGCGGGGGGCAGACAGCACUGUCCAAGGUGCUCGGGGCCUCUGAAUUGGACGCUUGAUAAUGUAACUUUAUCUUCUGUAAACUUCACCUCAGUAAGUUAAGAAGAAAUUAAGAGGAAGUCAGCUGGAGACCCACUGGCCA
rnacentral:lncRNA from 10 species